rnacentral:rRNA from 1 species
GACGAACGCUGGCGGCGUGCUUAACACAUGCAAGUCGAACGGUGAAGCGAGUGCUUGCACUCGUGGAUCAGUGGCGAACGGGUGAGUAACACGUGAGUAACCUGCCCAUCACUCUGGGAUAAGCACUGGAAACGGUGUCUAAUACUGGAUACGACCAACCCUUGCAUGGGGUGUUGGUGGAAAGAUUUAUCGGUGAUGGAUGGACUCGCGGCCUAUCAGCUUGUUGGCGGGGUAAUGGCCCACCAAGGCGACGACGGGUAGCCGGCCUGAGAGGGUGACCGGCCACACUGGGACUGAGACACGGCCCAGACUCCUACGGGAGGCAGCAGUGGGGAAUAUUGCACAAUGGGCGAAAGCCUGAUGCAGCGACGCCGCGUGAGGGAUGACGGCCUUCGGGUUAUAAACCUCUUUCAGCAGGGAAGAAGCGAAAGUGACGGUACCUGCAGAAGAAGCACCGGCUAACUACGUG